rnacentral:pre_miRNA from 1 species
UGGGCAGAUUAUUGUAUUCGACUGUAUUCACGACGUGAAAUAGGGGAUUAUACUGUUUUUAAACGGAAAGUGAAUCAAUUAACAUACUCAACAAACUCA